GUGCUCACUUCAGCAGCACAGAUACUAAAACUGGAACGAUAUAGAGAAGAUUAGCAUGGCCCCUGAGACAGGAUGACACGCAAAUUCAUGAAGCAUUCCAUAUUUUU
rnacentral:snRNA from 1 species